rnacentral:rRNA from 1 species
CCAACAGGGAUUGCCUCAGUAACGGCGAGUGAAGCGGCAACAGCUCAAAUUUGAAAUCUGGCUCUCUCAGGGUCCGAGUUGUAAUUUGUAGAGGAAGCUUCGGGUUCGGCUCCGGUCUAAGUUCCUUGGAACAGGACGUCAUAGAGGGUGAGAAUCCCGUAUGUGACUGGAAGUCAUGCUCAUGUGAAGCUCCUUCGACGAGUCGAGUUGUUUGGGAAUGCAGCUCAAAAUGGGUGGUAAAUUUCAUCUAAAGCUAAAUACCGGCCAGAGACCGAUAGCGCACAAGUAGAGUGAUCGAAAGAUGAAAAGCACUUUGGAAAGAGAGUUAAAAAGUACGUGAAAUUGUUGAAAGGGAAGCGCUUGCAAUCAGACUUGCCCGCGGUUGAUCAGCCGAUGUUCUCACCGGUGCACUCCUCCGUGGUCAGGCCAGCAUCGGUUUGGGCGACUGGAUAAAGGCUCUAGGAAUGUAGCUUCCCUCGGGGAGUGUUAUAGCCUAGGGUGCAAUGCAGCCAGCCUGGACCGAGGACCGCGCUUCGGCUAGGAUGCUGGCGUAAUGGUUGUAAGCGACCCGUCUUGAAAC